rnacentral:rRNA from 1 species
UACGAAGGGGGCUAGCGUUGCUCGGAAUUACUGGGCGUAAAGCGCACGUAGGCGGCUUUCUAAGUCGGGGGUGAAAUCCUGGAGCUCAACUCCAGAACUGCCUUCGAUACUGGAGAGCUUGAGUCCGGGAGAGGUGAGUGGAACUGCGAGUGUAGAGGUGAAAUUCGUAGAUAUUCGCAAGAACACCAGUGGCGAAGGCGGCUCACUGGCCCGGAACUGACGCUGAGGUGCGAAAGCGUGGGGAGCAAACAGG